CCCUAGAAGGUGUCCGUCGCCCAUUCAGCAAACAUUCACCAGGCUUCAUGCAUCCUGCGUCUGUCACAUCUGGAUAGCUAGCCUGAGGACAAAGUUCUGGGAGAUCGGCAUUGACUAUGUAGGUAACAACAACGGCCUAAAGAAGCAACAAGAAAGAAAGGAACCGAGUGCCUGGAGAACUUCAUGGAACAGAGCCACUUGCCUACUUUGGAUCAUCUGUCUCUAAGAGAGAGAAAUAAACUUUUCUUUUGUGUGA